CAAGUCGAACGAUUAAGACUUCCUUCGGGAAGUGUAUAAAGUGGCGCACGGGUGAGUAACACGUAAGUAAUCUACCUUCGAGUGGGGAAUAACGUCCGGAAACGGACGCUAAUACCGCAUAACGCAGCGGCAUCGAAAGAUGACAGUUGUUAAAGGAGCAAUUCGCUUGAAGAGGAGCUUGCGGCAGAUUAGCUAGUUGGUAAGGUAAUGGCUUACCAAGGCUUCGAUCUGUAUCCGGUCUAAGAGGACGGUCGGACACACUGACACUGAAUAACGGGUCAGACUCCUACGGGAGGCAGCAGUCGGGAAUUUUGGGCAAUGGGCGAAAGCCUGACCCAGCAACGCCGCGUGAAGGAUGAAGUAUUUCGGUAUGUAAACUUCGAAAGAAUGGGAAGAACUCAAUGACGGUACCAUUUAUAAGCUCCGGCUAACUACGUGCCAGCAGCCGCGGUAAUACGUAGGGAGCAAGCGUUGUUCGGAUUUACUGGGCGUAAAGGGCGCGUAGGCGGCAUAUUAAGUCAUCUGUGAAAUCUCCGAGCUUAACUCGGAACUGUCAGCUGAUACUGAUGUGCUAGAGUGCGGAAGGGGCAAUCGGAAUUCUUGGUGUAGCGGUGAAAUGCGUAGAUAUCAAGAGGAACACCUGAGGUGAAGACGGGUUGCUGGGCCGACACUGACGCUGAGUGCGCGAAAGCCAGGGGAGCAAACGGGAUUAGAUACCCCGGUAGUCCUGGCCUUAAACGAUGAAUACUUGGUGUCUGGAGUCUCUAUAGCUCCGGGUGCCGUCGCUAACGUUUUUAGUAUUCCGCCUGGGGAGUACGCACGCAAGUGUGAAACUCAAAGGAAUUGACGGGGACCCGCACAAGCGGUGGAGCAUGUGGUUUAAUUCGACGCAACGCGAAGAACCUUACCUAGGCUAGAAUGUGAGGGAAUCUUGGGUAAC
rnacentral:rRNA from 1 species